UCCACUCCUCUCCCUCAUUUUUUUUUUCUCUUUUCUUCUUGUUUCUUUUCAUCUCUUCUUCUGUUUCUCUACUCUCUGCCUCUCGCCUGACUCUCUCUCUCAUUUUUUUUUCCUUAAACAUUCAUUACACAAAAUCUUUGAUCCACCAAAAUCUAUUAGGUUUUGGACCCUUGUUCUCGAGAUAAAAGUGAAGAGCUUGGCGAGGAUUUCAUUUUGUGCGAUGGAGAUCUUUUUUUGGCACCAUCAAAUUUGGGCAUUUUCUUCCUUCUCCUCUUCUAGAACUUGAGGUGAUUGCGAUGUGCAUCUGCCGAAGUGAAGGUAAGGAGGAACUUUUGGAGCACAAAGCUCGAUUUUUAUUUGUUUUCUUUUUGUAAGCCAAGGGUUAUUCGUGUUUGGGUGUGAACACCACUUUUGUGUAACCGGGCAAGGCCUUAGAACUUGUAGCCAAUAGGGCAUUAUUUGGUUCUUAGCUUGCUUUAAAUUUCUGUCAUCACUUGCCAUAGGUUCAUACUUUAGAAAUAGUGAAUGUAUGAAUGCAUGUGAUUUGUUUUAUGAAUCUUACUAGAAAGUUAUGAAUAGAAAGGAAUGGGGGGUUUUGGUCCUUACAUUAAUGAAUGUAGUAUUUAUUAUUC